rnacentral:rRNA from 1 species
UUAGAGUUUGAUCCUGGCUCAGGAUGAACGCUAGCGACAGGCUUAACACAUGCAAGUCGAGGGGCAGCAGGGGCGUAGCAAUACGCCUGCUGGCGACCGGCGCACGGGUGAGUAACACGUAUGAAACCUGCCCGUAGCAGGGGGAUAAGCGGAAGAAAUUCCGUCUAAUACCGCGUAACAACCGUUUGGGGGCAUCCCUUAAGGUUUAAAGGAGCGAUCCGGCUACGGAUGGUCAUGCGUCGCAUUAGCUAGUCGGCGGGGUAACGGCCCACCGAGGCGACGAUGCGUAGGGGUUCUGAGAGGAAGGUCCCCCACACUGGUACUGAGACACGGACCAGACUCCUACGGGAGGCAGCAGUGAGGAAUAUUGGUCAAUGGCCGGAAGGCUGAACCAGCCAAGUCGCGUGAGGGAAGACGGCCCUAUGGGUUGUAAACCUCUUUUGUCGGGGAGCAAAGGCCGCCACGCGUGGCGGAUUGAGAGUACCCGAAGAAAAAGCAUCGGCUAACUCCGUGCCAGCAGCCGCGGUAAUACGGAGGAUGCGAGCGUUAUCCGGAUUUAUUGGGUUUAAAGGGUGCGUAGGCGGCAUUAUAAGUUAGUGGUAAAAUUUUGGGGCUUCACCUCAUUGUGCCAUUAAUACUGUAGAGCUAGAGAACAGACGAGGUAGGCGGAAUAAGUUAAGUAGCGGUGAAAUGCAUAGAUAUAACUUAGAACUCCGAUAGCGAAGGCAGCUUACCAGGCUGAGUCUGACGCUGAUGCACGAGAGCAUGGGUAGCGAACAGGAUUAGAUACCCUGGUAGUCCAUGCCGUAAACGAUGCUCACUGGCCUUAGGCGAUACACAGUCUGAGGUUAAGCGAAAGUAUUAAGUGAGCCACCUGGGGAGUACGUCGGCAACGAUGAAACUCAAAGGAAUUGACGGGGGCCCGCACAAGCGGAGGAACAUGUGGUUUAAUUCGAUGAUACGCGAGGAACCUUACCUGGGUUUAAAUGUGGGGUGCAUUGGGUGGAAACAUCCAUUCCCUUCGGGGCUUCCCACAAGGUGCUGCAUGGUUGUCGUCAGCUCGUGCCGUGAGGUGUCGGGUUAAGUCCCAUAACGAGCGCAACCCUUAUCUUUAGUUGCUAGCAUUUCUGGUGAGCACUCUAAAGAGACUGCCACCGUAAGGUGAGAGGAAGGGGGGGAUGACGUCAAAUCAGCACGGCCCUUACAUCCAGGGCUACACACGUGUUACAAUGGCCAUUACAGCGGGUAGCUACUUGGCGACAAGAUGCUAAUCUCCAAAUUUGGUCACAGUUCGGAUUGGAGUCUGUAACCCGACUCCAUGAAGUUGGAUUCGCUAGUAAUCGCGCAUCAGCCAUGGCGCGGUGAAUACGUUCCCGGGCCUUGCACACACCGCCCGUCA